UAUAUAAACAUUUAAGUAUAUGAUUAACGUUAAAAAUAUAUACCACUUAUGUUCUAAAAUAAUAAUUUAUGUAUAAAAAAAUGAAAACAAACAUCCGCGCGGUUGCGCGGAUCAAAAUCUAGUUAUUUUUAAAUUGAUGGUCAUGUUUUUAGGCGUCUAGUAAGGUUUUUUUUUCAGUUAAAUUGAUCUGUGAAUGCAUUAUUGAGUUUGUUUUGUCUAAUAUCCAUAUUUUGUAUUAAUGAACUUUAGUUAUUGGGUUAUUAGUGGACUUUAACUUGAUUGGGUACAUAAAAAUUAAAUGAAAGGUUAACUGAACUAAAGAAGAAGAAAAAAAGUACUUUUAUUGUUUCUCUCUCAGCCGACUCAACCUAAUUUUCUUCUUUCUUUCACUAUCUCAUCCGGCCCGUAUUCUUUUUUCAUCACCUCACCUUCGUCUUCACCUCCUCACCGCAUCUUCUUCAUCACCUAAUCUCCCUUUUCAUCUCAUCCAUCUUCUUCGUUUAACCACCUCACCUUCUUCUUUACCACCUGACCCCAUCUUCUUCUUCACCACCUAAUCUCCCUUUUCAUCUAAUUAUGCUUCGUCGUUCACUUUCCUCUUCUCUGUUUUACUUGAUAAAUUAGGAUUUGAUUCACAGUUCAUCAACAUAAAGUGACAGCAUUUUAUCUGUUUGGUUCAAUUAUAUAGAUAUUUCUCAGUCUGAAAAAAAAACAGAAAACAGUCUAACUUAAUCGAUUUUUUCCAAAUUUACCUAAAUCGCAGGCUUAGAUGUAAUCAUUUGGAGUUUUUGACGGAAACAAAGUUUGUUUGGAUUUAAAAAAAAUGUUUGGAUUACAGACGUGGUCUGACUCAGUUUUUUUGGUUGGAGAAAAGGGAGGAUGGUGGAUUUGGGCUCAGAAAAUAAUUUCCAAUUACUCAUUUAAUAAAAGCGGAAGCCCACUCGUGAAGCCCAAAAAACAAAUUAAAAAGAUGAAAAAACAGAGUUGGACACGUGUCACACUGAGAGGAAUUGACUUAUUGACGUGGAUUCACCAGGAGAGAGAAACAUUUCUUUAUUAUAUAAGAUUUCAAGAUUACAUUUCCUAUCUAGAAUAAUAUUUCUUGUUUUGUUUUCUAAACACAUAAUAUCAUCAUAAAUCUCAUGGUAGUAUAUGUAUCGGUUAGAUAAAUCACCAAUGUAAAAAUCUCUCUCACUAUAUCAACAAAGUUCGAUAAAUACUAAAAAAAAAAAUCAAGAGUCUCAAAUCGAUUCCUUCCUCGGAUAAGAUCUUUUUAUUUUAAGUAGACUAGUUUACAUUACCUUUUGUGGUCGGUAGUUGUGUGAUCAAUUUUGAAUGGUAUAAAUCAUUGAUUAUGCCAAUUUAGUACAUGCUUAGUGCAAUUGGAAGAAGAAGAAAAAUAAAACGUCUUUGGAUUUCUGCAUAAAAGAAACCUAAGAAAAGGUUAAAUGUUAAUUGUUUAAUGAGAAAAUUAGACAUUUAUAUUGAAAUCCUUUAUAUACUAAAGUACAAGUCACUCUACCAAUCAAAUUGUGACACAUGGAUCCUAUUUUAUAUUUUAAAAGUUAAAAAUUGUUUAUAAAAUAAUGAAAGCAAAAAUAAAAAUGGAAAAAAAGAAGAGAAACACACGGUUUUAACAAUCCAGUUCAAUCCAAUAAUCUCUUUCCAACAGUUCUUCUUGCCUACACCUCCACGAUCACCAUUCACGUCAAUCUCUCUUAUAACUACCUUCAUUCCAUCAUUUAUAUUUCUGAAUUGUCAUUGUAAGUUUCUUUUACUCAAAUCCACACAACGUUUCUUCUCCAAGAUAAAUUGAUAUUUGAUGUAUCAUCUUUCUCAAUUUCUCUGGAUCUCAUUCUUUUCUAUGCCUUUUCACUAUGAUAUUUUUGUAUCAAGCUUUCGCAUGCAAGGUUUAUUAGAAGAAAUCAGAAACAGGAGAGAAGAAGACAAGACAAAUUGGCUUUAACAAGAAUGAAACAUUAUUGGAUCAGCAUACAAUCCAGUAAAAAAAAAAGCCAAAACAAAAUGAAGGAGUUUUUUUCUACAACAAACGAAGGACUAGAAUCAGGUGUCCAUAAUCUGAUAACAAGUGGUGUUUUAGAUCUUCUCUGAUUCCUUUUUUUUUUUGUAACUGAUCUUAUCUGAUUAUUUUUCUUAUGCUUUUCUUUAAAAAUAUCUAUUUUAUUUUUGUAGCCUUUACUUGAAGAAAUUCCAUCGGUCAAUACUAAAGAUGUGAUACUUCUUUCGAAAGAAGGAAAGACAUUAAAAACCAAAAACUCUACCAGGGAAAAAGAGUAUUAACAACUUUGAUGAUCCAGCUAAGUAUUUACAAAUCUGUAAGUUAUGAUCUGAGUGUUUCAAAAAUCUUUUUUUUUUUAAAUUAUAAUAGAGCAUGUCUAUUAUAUACAAGUUGAAUACUCUAAAUAUAUCGAGUCUCUUAUCUUUAGUUUCAUUUUUUUCCAUUAUAUUAGAAAUAAGGAGAUUUGUAUUUUUCAAGAAGACGUAUUUACAAAACAAAAUACAAAUAAAACUGAAUAGAUUAAACUUAUUUUUAACUACAUUUAUGCAUGUUUGUAUAUAUCUUAACUUUCUAUGAAAAUUGCUUCUAAAUAUGUAUAUUAUCUCUCUGAAAAAUCAUAAUAAUUCUUAUGAGGCUUCAAACUCUUUGUCUGAAUGCAUCCUCUUCUAAUUUUAGAUGCCGGUGUGUGUUACUAACAUAAUAUUUAAGUUUGAUGAAAACAAAAAUGAAACAACAACAUUGGAAUCUUAAAAAAAAAAACAA